rnacentral:lncRNA from 1 species
AAGCAGUACGCGACGCGAGGACGCAGGAGGAGGAGCCCGGAGCUGCAGCCACCGGGGAGCCAGGCAGCAAAGCACCUGCUCUGAGUGGCCAUGGGGAAGCGAUACUUCUGUGACUACUGCGACCGCUCCUUCCAGGACAACCUCCACAACCGCAAGAAGCACCUGAACGGGCUGCAGCACCUCAAGGCCAAGAAGGUCUGGUACGACAUGUUCCGAGGUGGGUGCCGCUGGCUGGGGGCCAGGCUCCUGGAGCCCUGCUCUCUGAUCUUUCUUAUCAUCAAAGACUCCUGUGGGUCAGUGACAGUCUAGGUCUGGGCUCUUUGAGGAUCAAAAGAGAGGGAGGCCUGAGCCACUGGGCCCUCAGAGGAGCAGGCUGGUAGGUGAGCUCUUUCCCCAACAACGCUGACUGAAGGCUCUGUGGACAGGAGGAAGGCCCUAGAAGGAGGUGAUGUUUGAGCCAACAGCUAAAAUAGGGGAAAGCUAGCCAUGCAGUUCUGGGUGGAGGGUGUGAAGAGAAGCAGGCAGCCCUGAGUCCAGCACCAGGGCUCUCGGAGCAGGAGGGAGAGGGUGUGGCUGGGCGGAGCAGGCCAGGGGAGAAUGGUAGGGCUCAAGCUGGCUCUGGGGCAGGGAUCUUCCAAGCCUGUGGAGGCCAUCAUAAGCAGGGGGCGGAGGUGGGGGGGUCCCUGUUCCAAGGGCAGAGAGCAGCCUUUGAAGGGCUUUAGCUGCCGUGGCCAGACCUGCCUUGACAGCGCAGACUGCUUCGUGGGGAGCAGUUGGGUGCGGUCAGUGGCAGUUGAAUGACUGGCUGCAGGCACGGGUGAAUAACCCAGUUGCAGAAGGAAGGCAGGCUCUUCUGGGAAAGGCCUCUCAGAGCAAGAACAAUUGGGGUGAAUGAGCUAAGGUCGGAAGUGCCUAGCACAGGGCCUGUUUCCCGGGAGGUGCCCAGAGAGGGGAGUUGUGCUGUUGCACGGCUGUCACUGGACAUUCACACUGAGGAACAGCCAGGGAGGUUCCAGAGGGUGACUGGCAGGAGCCAGGUUGAGAGAUAUGGGCACUUGGCGGUGGGGCGAGGGUGGGCCAGGAGCUCCUGGAAUGAGCCAGAGUGGGGCCGAUGCCCUGUAGGUUGGUGAGCAGGAUUCUGGGACAGGGCCUCCGAAGAAGGAACCAAAUCCAGCAGCCAAGAAGGGAGGAGAGGUGGAGAGAGAGUUCCCUGGUUGGGGCUAGGUGUGGUGGCUUUCCCCUGUAAUCCUAGCACUUUGGGACACUGAGGUGGGAAGAUUGUUUGAGCCCAGAAGUUCAAGAGCAGCCUGGGCAGCAUUGUGAGACCCCGCCUCAAAAAAGGCCUGAAACUGAGAGUUCACAAACAAGGAAUGAGCAUGGAUCGCAUGCCUGCUACAUGCUGGUGCUUUUCAUAGUUCGUCAUUUGCUUUUCUCGACAACUCUCUAGGGCAGUGAUUCUCAACUCCGGCUGCAGGUUAGGAUCACCUGGAGACCUUUAGGCUAAAACCACUGAUUCCCCAACCCCAUCCCCUCCCCAGAGGCAGGUUUGGGGACUAGGCAUGGUGUUUCUAAAGGCUUCCCAGACUCCGCAUUUCACUUGAGGGAGCUGAGGCUCAGAGGUUCAAGUGAGGGGGUGGCCAGGCUGCUCAGCAGGCCAGGCGUGGCUGUGGUUGCAAGGCCACAGGAAAAUUCAUGGGCAGUGGGGUCUCCUAGCUCCCUAGGAGACUCUAACCCUGGUGUUACGCUAAGGCUCCCUGCUGUGCAAAUCCAGUGUGGGCUGUGAUCUAGAGGGAGCUGGGCCGAGAUCACCUAGUCCCAGAUUCUCAGCUGUCAACAGCUGGAUGCUGGGAUCCAGGGCUGAUUGGCAGAGGUCCCUGUGUCACUUAUAGAAAAGAUGAAGCAGCAGGUGACAGGAGUGCCCCAGGGCUCCUGUGUUCUCAGUGUCCUCACAUCCCCAACACAUUCAGUCCUUAGAACAGUUCUGUAAGAGGCUGGGCAGGCCAAGCCAGGCAUUCCCAGUUACAGGUGGUGACUUCAAAAUCCAGAGCAGGCAGGGCAUGGUGGCUCACACCUGUAAUCCCAGCACUUUGGGAGGCUGAGGUGGGAGGAUCGCUUGAGUCCAGGAGUUCAAGACCAGCCUGGGCAACAUAGUGAAACCCCAUCUCUACUAAAAAUAAAAAAAUUUGGCCAGACUCCGUGGCUCAUGCCUGUAAUCCCAGCACUUUGGGAGGUUUGAGGUGGGUGGAUCACCUGAGGUCAGGAGUUCAGGACCAGCCUGGUCAACCUGGUGAAACCCUGCCUCUACUAAAAAUACAAACAUUAGCUGGGCGUGGUGGUGGGUUCCUGUAAUCCCAGCUACUUUGGAGGCUAACGCAGGAGAAUUGCUUGAACCUGGGAGGUGGAGCUUGCAGUGAACUGAGAUCACACCACUGUACUCCAGCCUGGGCAAGAGAGCAAGACUCCAUCUC